rnacentral:rRNA from 1 species
UACGUAGGGGGCAAGCGUUGUCCGGAAUCAUUGGGCGUAAAGAGCGUGUAGGCGGCUUGGCAAGUCUGGUGUGAAAUCUUGCGGCUCAACCGCAAGCGGUCACUGGAAACUGCCUCGCUAGAGUCCGGAAGAGGAGAGCGGAAUUCCUGGUGUAGCGGUGGAAUGCGCAGAUAUCAGGAAGAACACCCGUGGCGAAAGCGGCUCCACUGGACCAUAACUGACGCUGGAUGCACGAAAGCUAGGGGAGCAAACAGG